UUUCAAGUACAAGUGCUGUUCUUGCGUUCGAGUUUGCGAUUAAUAUGUUGGAGCUUUUCAUUUUUGGCUGGUUGGCGGAAAAUUUGAUUGCUGCGGAAAAUCGUUUUCGGCUCGCAGUUUUGAACCGUCUUGCUGCAGAAUCAUACAUCAAUUCGGCAGACUACACUUCACUUCAGAUAAUUUCCAUCGGCAGCAACAUACAAUAUUCCCUGAAGGCUGGACCUUUUUACAAGUUGUCCAACAAGACGUUCAACGCUAUUAUCGCCGCUUCUUACAGUUACUACAGCUUUCUCAGAAAUGUAAAAACACGUUGAAGAGUGGAAUAUGUAAUCAAUAUUAUUAUUUUACAAUUUCAGCA